rnacentral:rRNA from 1 species
GACGAACGCUGGCGGCGUGCCUAACACAUGCAAGUCGAACGGAAAGGUCCGGCCUUGGGGGGGAGGGGUAGGUGCCAACUGGUGAGCUACACUUGAGUUAGCUAUAACUGACUUUGGGAUAUCCUCAGGAAACUGGGGCUAUUAGCGCAUAGGAGUUCCUGCCGCUGGGUGGGGGUUGGAUAGUUUCGGCGGUUGGGGAUGGACUCGCGGCCUAUCAGCUUGAUGGUGGGGUAGUGUCGUACCAUGGCCUGGAAGGGUGGCAGUCCUGAGAGGGUGACCGGCCACAUUGGGACGGAGAUACGGCACAGACUCCUACGGGACGCAGCAGUGGAGAAUAUUGCACAAUGGGCGGAAGCCUGAUGCAGCAACGCCGCGUGCGGGAUGACGGCCUUCGGGUUGUAAACCACUUUCGCCUGUGACGAAGCGUGAGUGACGGUAAUGGGUAAAGAAGCACCGGCUAACUACGUG